GCAAGGGGCCAGCGAACCACGGGCAGAAUGUCUGUCUGGUCUUACCUUCUGGCUGCCUUGCCAAAUGCUGGGCUGCAGAGGUUUGUAGCAAAGGGAGAGUUUAUUUGCAAGGCAGCCAAGCGAGGGGAUGAGAGAACAAAUCUCCAAUCCACCUUCCUGAAGACAAGAGACCCAGGCUCUUCAAGACCCCAUGGACUGCAGCCUACCAGGCUACUCUGUCCAUGGGAUUUUCCAGGCAAGAGUACUGGAGUGGGGUGCCAUUGCCUUCUCCGAUGGAAGGACUGGAGAGAAGCAAAGGUGCCUGGUGGGCGAUGGUCCAUAUGGUCACGAAGUCAGACAACAGCUGAAGUGACAGCACGCGUGCAUUCCUUUGGAAGAAAUAGCUGUGACAUAGGCCCUUUCAACCACAUGUGUGGAGAGGACUGGAUGCGUGAGCCCGGCGCGAGUGAUCAGCCCAGCACCCGGCUCCUGGGAAUCCCUCGGUCAAUAUUAGCUAUUAUGAUUAGUGGUGGAAACUGCUUUUUAAAGUGAGCCCACACUCGCCGCCUGGAAGGUGAUUGCAUUUCUCCGUCUCCACUGAGUGGCGGGAAACUGGUUGGUCAGGAGCUGGGAAGUCUUGCUCUGAUUUCAGGAUCCCUGUGACUUUCUCUCAAGGCAGAGGAAUGUGUUUCGAGACCCCUUGCAGCCGCUCCUGGAUCCCAGUCCCUCCUCCGCAGUUGAGGAUCUUUCCGCCCAUCCUUUACCAGCUCGCUGAUUCAGGGAAGGGCUGCCAGAUACAGGGAUGAACUUUCCCCCGGAUUCCUUGCUGCCUCCCUUCAGAAGCGAAAUGCCGCAGUGCUAACAAAGUGUCUUUCAAGCGACCAGAGGCCCAGACCGUGGGCUGCUGCCUGCCAGCCAGAGAGCUGUUUCCCACCCCCACCCCGUUCUGGGGGCAACGGCAGGCGGUCCCAGCCGCCCCUCUCUCUCCCCUCCGCUCCGUGUUAUCUAUGGGGAUUGGGAAACGUUAUCAAAACAGGCCCCAUCUGUUCCUGAAGUCGUGGAAGAAUACUCGUGUGAUAAAUUUACAGGGCGCUGGAAGACCCUCUAAUUUUCUGGGAAACGACAAGGCCUCUGUGGCCACCUUGUGUAAAAUUUCCUCUUUUAUCCCCAAGUUACAUGCCCUGGACUAUUUACUUGGAGUCUGAGGGUAUAUUUACCAUUCAGGCAACAUCACAAGGUGUCAAAGAAAUCUACUCAGAGUAGGAUGUGUUGGGUGUCUUGCCUUUCUAAAAAUGACAGUCAGCUAUUUUUUUUUUUUUUAAUACAUCUUUUUAGGUGUUAUGUUCAUAGUGUAAACAGUUCAGGAAGGACGCGGGUAGGGAGUCAAAGUUCAAGUCAGGGCAGACGUCCUGAACAGAAACAAGACUCAAUCCAGCAGCUCUGCCAAGACAGAAGCUGGUUAGAUAUUGGAUUCCCUCUGUGAGUUCUUCCUAAGCCUGUUAUUGCUCUAUCGAUCUGCUGCGGGAGCACCUCAAAUAUUUGAAGCCUGAGUGCGUCAUUCAGAACCAACCCUGGACAGCCACACUGAGGAGAGGAUUUGCCAGUAGCUGAAGGAAUGCUUUGGGGGAGAGGUGGAAGGACAUGGUUUUCCAAAUUUAGAACUCACUCACAUUUCGUGGGUUCUGACAUUAAUAUUGAACUUGAACAUAAAGUCCCUGGCAAGAUCCAAUUUCCUAAUUCAAAACAAGCUGCUCAGGGAGCCCACCAAGGUGCCUGGGAAGUGCUCUGUCUCUUACAAGACAGCCCGUUGGAGGAUUCAAGCGUGAAGGCGCCGGGACCCCGUUGAUCCCGUUUCCCUUACAAUCCAUGUGGCUUUUAGACUGAAGCAGCUGUGGGGUGUGCAAAGGAGCAGAAAGCACUGGAAAACAGCGCUUCUGAAGUUUCGCGGACCUGAGGACAUUUGAAAAUUAGUCUGAAUCCUUCCGCCAGGUCUGCACAGUCCACGGAUCUUGCGGACUUUGUUUUUGGUCUGAUGACAGAUCCUCAAGAGGAGCCGUUGGAGAACAGAGUAGGUGUGGCCUUCUCCCACCCCGGGGACACAAGAACAGCCUCUCUGGGGCCCUGCUGCCUGUUUUUAUCACAAGGCCCGUCCCCAGGAAUGGCUCUGUCUGGUCUCAUACCCACUCUCCGCUGGGCUGGAAGGCACACUGCUGCCUUGCAGUGACUUUGGCCCUGACCUUGGGGUUCCCACAGCCUCGGGGUUGGGACUGAGUGAUCCCAUAUGUCUCAGCCGCUAUAAUUUUUCAGAAUUCUCUCACCAGCUUAUCACCUCUUGGCUUCAGAUCUCUCAGCAGCAGCUCUGCAAGCAGAGAUUCAAGCUCAUGGUCCUCAGCGGGCCCCCCGGCCCUUCCUGGCCUCACCCUGCCCGCUUCUCUCCCCAGAGUCCUCUUCAUCUCCGCACACCUGACGCUCCCGCCCUGCUGAGCCACUUCUGUCGCCUCUAGCUCCCCGUGCCCUCUCUGGCUUCUCUGUCCUCUCCACUUGUCCUACUUGAAAUGUCCUGAUCUGAUCUGUCUCUUCCAGGAGUCUUUCCCGCAACCCAGCCCUCUCUGGACACCUUGAGCUCACCCUGCUGCCGCAUGCCGCUUCCUGCACUGUCACCCUCCCUUCCUGUGAGUCAGAGCUCUUCAUCUUCACCAGGUUCUGGGGGGCCGGCUGCCCCCGGGACGUGUCAGGGUAGAGAGUGAGGACUGGACCAUCCCUGCAGGGGGCCGUGCGGAUCGCUGGGCUUUGGGGAAGUGGAGCGUUUCCGGGGGCAAACCAGGAAGGCAGUGGAAGGCUGUAGCGUGUCAGGCCUACAGCGUCACCACAUCCAUAACAUUGCCGCUGGGAUUAUGUUUCCUACGGAUAACUAGUAAAGGGGCUUAGGGCUUUGUGCUCAGUGGCUCAAGGCCGUAUUGGGAUGACACUUAAUGAACAAGCAUGGGGACAGGAUCAAGAGGAAGAAAGAAGAAUCUGCAUAAAUUGUGAGGAAGGAGCCUGGAUUCAUGGAGGUUGUGAAACUGGGGAUUUGUACUAUGGGUAAUGCUUGUCUAUCUUUCCACUGAACUGUAAGUUCCUUGGGGGUGUGAGGUGUGGAUUAUUCAUCUCCAGAUGCCCAGGGCCCAACUUAAUACCUCGUGUAUAGCACACAGGGCUCAGUGAAUACUUAUUGGGCGUAUGGGUGGAUGGAUGGAGGAAUGAAUGGAGG
ensembl:lncRNA